AGGUAACGAAGUUCCUAAGAUAAUGUCAUCCUCCUGGAGGAAUUAACUCAUGGUGAAAAUUCAGUUGUGGUUCACAGGCUGCUGUGAUUAAUUCAGAUCAAGUAACAUCUGAAGAGUACUUUGCAAAUCACAAAAUUCUUUCUCCUGAGUAACCUCAGAAUUUUCACAACCACCUAACAUACAAAGAGUCCUACAAGCCCUCUUUCAAGGAAAGAAUUUCACUCAAAAUAUUUAAGGAUUUGUCCAAAAUUCUAAAGAAGCUCAUAGAACAGAUUCACCAAAAACAAGACUUGACACUGAACUUAACUUGAUGCUGGCAUAAUCUUAAACUUGAACAUCACCAAAACUGCAUAAUAUCUACUGAGCCUAAGCUUUUGAAGAUGUCAACACACAUUUUAUAUCCAUGGCAUCUCAAAAAUUAGAGUCAUUGUAAAGCAAAAGGCAUUGGAAAUUAAAUAAGAUGACCUAUUCCACACUGUAUUUUUGAAGUUUCACAUUGUUUCAAAUAAAAUUGUACAACAUGUGUUUUCAUUUUCUCCAUGGGACUCAUCCUUUAUCCUCCCUAAGGCAUGGAUGAUAAAUAAGAAUUUCAUAAAUAAGGGAAAGUCCAGGAGCCGGGAGACCUGGAUCUGAGUUUCAAAGUCAUUCUCUGAGCAAGAAGGAAUGCUGACAAUGACUACAGGGACUUUGUCUCAUCUGUUCACCUUUUCCCUGAGCACUUCGAACAGCACCUUACACGAAGCAGUGGUCAGAGGGAGAAAGGAGAGAAAAUCCUGAGCAGACGUCAUACUGAAUGCAGAGCCCUAGGAAGGGCUCUAUCCCUUGAGUCUGAGAUCGUGACCUGAGCCAGCAGAGUCAGACACAACCAACUACACCACCCAGGCAUCUGGAUCUUUCACCAUUAAAUAUCAUAUCAGCUAUACACCUAUUGCAGAUUAAGCUUA